ACCGGCGCACGGGUGAGUAACACGUAUGCAACCUGCCCCUGUCAGGGGGACAACCCGCCGAAAGGCGGGCUAAACCCGCGUACAUGCCACCGGGGCAUCCCGGAGGCAGGAAAGGCUUCGGCCGGACAGGGAUGGGCAUGCGGCGCAUUAGGCAGUAGGCGGGGUAACGGCCCACCUAACCGACGAUGCGUAGGGGUUCUGAGAGGAAGGUCCCCCACACUGGAACUGAGACACGGUCCAGACUCCUACGGGAGGCAGCAGUGAGGAAUAUUGGUCAAUGGGCGCAAGCCUGAACCAGCCAAGUCGCGUGAGGGAAGACGGCCCUACGGGUUGUAAACCUCUUUUGCCGGGGAGCAAGCCUGAGCACGUGUGCCCAGGCGGAGAGUACCCGGAGAAAAAGCAUCGGCUAACUCCGUGCCAGCAGCCGCGGUAAUACGGAGGAUGCGAGCGUUAUCCGGAUUUAUUGGGUUUAAAGGGUGCGCAGGCGGGCUGUUAAGCCGGCGGUAAAAAUUCAGGGCUCAACCCUGUCGAGCCGUCGGAACUGGCAGUCUUGAGUGGGCGAGAAGUAUGCGGAAUGCGUGGUGUAGCGGUGAAAUGCAUAGAUAUCACGCANAACGCCGAUUGCGAAGGCAGCAUACCGGCGCCCAACUGACGCUNANGCACGAAAGCGUGGGGAUCGAACAGGAUUAGGUACCCUGGUA
rnacentral:rRNA from 1 species